rnacentral:rRNA from 1 species
AUUGAACGCUGGCGGCAGGCCUAACACAUGCAAGUCGAACGAGUGGCGGACGGGUGAGUAAUGUCUGGGCAACUGCCUGAUCGAGGGGGAUAACGACUGGAAACGGUAGCUAAUACCGCAUACCGUCCGAUCUGCCCAGAUGGGAUGAGCUAGUUGGGGGGGUAACGGCUCACCAAGGCGACGAUCCCUAGCUGGUCUGAGAGGGUGACCAGCCACACUGGAACGGAGACACGGCCCAGACUCCUACGGGAGGCAGCAGUGGGGAAUAUUUCGCAAUGGGCGAAAGCCUGACGCAGCCAUGCCGCGUGUAUGAAGAAGGCCUUCGGGUUGUAAAGCACUUUCAGCGGGGAGGCGUUACCCGCAGAAAAAGCACCGGCUAACUCCGUGCCAGCAGCCGCGGUAAUAC